rnacentral:tRNA from 1 species
GCCUUCGUGGUGUAAUGGUCAGCACGCUCGAUUCGUAACCGAGAGGUCCGUGGUUCGAUUCCUGGUGAAAGCU